rnacentral:rRNA from 1 species
AUUGAACGCUGGCGGCAGGCCUAACACAUGCAAGUCGAACGAGUGGCGGACUGGUGAGUAAUUUCUGGGAAACUGCCCGAUGGAGGGGGCUAACUACUGUAAACGGUAGCUAAUACCGCAUACCAUCUGAUGUGCCCAGAUGGGAUUAGCUAGGAGGUGGGGUAAAGGCUCACCUAGGCGAAGAUCCCUAGCUGGUCUGAGAGGCUGACCAGCCACACUGGAACUGAGACACGGUCCAGACUCCUACGGGAGGAAGCAGUGGGGAAUAUGGCACAAUGGGCGCAAGCCUGAUGCAGCCAUGCCGCGUGUAUGAAGAAGGCCUUCGGGGUGUAAAGUACUUUCAGCGGGGAGGCGUUACCCGCAGAAGAAGCACCGGCUAACUCCGUGCCAGCAGCCGCGGUAAUUC